AAAAAAGACACAGAGCCCAACGCAAACCGAAUGCGAGGCUGCUCGACACACUGGGAGCCAAGAAGUCGGCUCAGCAGCUCAGUGACACACUUCUACUUCACACGGAAGGUACACGAAGCUUGACGUAUCAAGUCUUUCCAAAAAAGGGACAUAUGCACUCUGAGUAGAUAAGUUGAUUAACCAUCUGUUUACACUGACCCAAGAACAACUCUGCAAGACUAGCCAGAAGGCCCGAGGUCCACUUUGAACAGACGGAUGAAGCAGAUGCUGAGGACAGUCAAGUGCUGCAUCUAGAUUUCCGCAAACAAUUUGAGUCUGUCUUGAUAGUUUCUCAGAGGCUAAGCUGAACUGAAGAAUUCCCAUGCAAUGGUGCUAAUGUGUCCUUUACAGCAUAUGAGAUCUAUACAUGGCAUAAACCAUAUAAACAGGAUCUGGCUUUCAAUUAUGAAGGCCGUUCUAUGCCCACCUGGAAGGCAAUCUCUACCAGCAGGCCACCGGAUGCAUGCACGCACUAAUCCUGUCUUACCAUCUUUCCUUCCACAAAAUUAACAUUAAAGUACAAAAGGAGUA
rnacentral:lncRNA from 1 species